rnacentral:lncRNA from 1 species
CCCUCCUUUUAGGGAGCCACACGGCCUUGUGACACCAAUUUUGCCACUAUAUGGCGUCACCAUAUCACCAUCCAUGGUGAUGGCGUCAAGACCAACACUUUUUGGUCGCGCCAUGUCCUUUUGUAGGACAUCAAUCCUUGCAGACAUAUUUACAGCAUGUGAUCUCGUCACUUUAACACUAUAAGCAUUUGGGAUCAAGAUGAGACUUAGUGGGGACAAACUACGACAAUUCACGUCGUUCCACUUGAACACUUGUGUUCUUAUCUCCCCCUAACGGCGGGAAUAUUGUCUCAUCAAAGUGACAAUCCGCAAUUUAGCGGUGAAUGAGAUUGCCUGACAAGGUUCCUACAUAUGCAGAUUAUAGGUGGAGGUUCAUAUCCAACCUAAACUUAUUCAUCUCAAAUGACCUAUCAUUGUACGCAGUGGCAAUGCGAUUUGACACCUAGAAAUAACAUCUAGCCGAGCUUAAGGAUUGGAGAUCCGUUUCAAUCCUGCCGAGCUCAAGGAUUGCAAUUUUGUGUCAAUCCUUGUACAUAGUCACGAGCUGUAGUACAACAAAAUUCAAUGAUGGUGGGUCGUUGAUGAAUAGUAAAGUUGCAUGCAAAUAUUGCAUAGCCCCAAGACGCAAUAGAAAGAGUGGUGCGCAUCAAUAAUGUUCGAGCGACAAGCUAAAGUUGCUUGGUCGUAGCCUCGGUGAGACUGUAUUGCGUGUGAACAUGGGGUACAGGACACUUCAACUUACAUCCUGAUGAACUUCUUUAAAGAAUGGAUAGUGAGCCCGUAGAAGUAUAAGCAGUAUAAGCAGUAGAUAAUAGUGUAACACGUGACCAGUGUGUUAACACGUCAACCAACACCAUAAAGCAUAAAAAGGUGUCCGCAAGUUGGUUGUAUCUAUCUACAUAGUUUGAUGUAAGAAUAGAAUGUUCACUUUUGUGUUAUUUAGCGU